GUACUUGCUUCUGCACCACAUGUGCUAAAAUUGGAAUGAUGCAGAGAUUAGCAUGGCACCUGCACAAGGAUAACGUUCAAAUUUGUGAAGUGUUCCACAUUUAA